rnacentral:rRNA from 1 species
UACGUAGGGACCGAGCGUUGUCCGGAAUCAUUGGGCGUAAAGAGCGUGUAGGCGGCUUGUUAAGUCUUGCGUGAAAUCUCGGGGCUCAACCCCGAGCGGUCGUGAGAAACUGGCAGGCUAGAGUGCGGGAGAGGAGAGUGGAAUUCCUGGUGUAGCGGUGAAAUGCGCAGAUAUCAGGAAGAACACCCGUGGCGAAGGCGGGUCUCUGGGCCAUUACUGACGCUGAGGAGCGAAAGCGUGGGGAGCGAACAGG